rnacentral:rRNA from 1 species
AGGACGAACGCUGGCGGCGUGCUUAACACAUGCAAGUCGAGCGAUGAAGUCCUCGGGAAUGGAUAGCGGCGGACGGGUGAGUAACACGUGGGUAACCCGCCUCAUAGAGGGGAAUAGCCUUUCGAAGGAAGAUUAAUACCGCAUAAGAUUGUAGUAUCGCAUGAUACAGCAAUUAAAGGAGUAAUCCGCUAUGAGAUGGACCCGCGUCGCAUUAGCUAGUUGGUGAGGUAACGGCUCACCAAGGCGACGAUGCGUAGCCGACCUGAGAGGGUGAUCGGCCACAUUGGGACUGAGACACGGCCCAGACUCCUACGGGAGGCAGCAGUGGGGAAUAUUGCACAAUGGGGGAAACCCUGAUGCCAGCAACGCCGCGUGAGUGAUGACGGUCUUCGGAUUGUAAAACUCUGUCUUCAGGGACGAUAAUGACGGUACCUGAGGAGGAAGCCACGGCUAACUACGUGCCAGCCGCGGC